AGUUUGAUCCUGGCUCAGGACGAACGCUGGCGGCGUGCUUAACACAUGCAAGUCGAACGAUGAUGCCCAGCUUGCUGGGCGGAUUAGUGGCGAACGGGUGAGUAACACGUGGGUGAUCUGCCCUGCACUUCGGGAUAAGCCUGGGAAACUGGGUCUAAUACCGGAUAUGACCACAGGAUGCAUGUUUUGUGGUGGAAAGGUUUACUGGUGCAGGAUGAGCCCGCGGCCUAUCAGCUUGUUGGUGGGGUAAUGGCCUACCAAGGCGACGACGGGUAGCCGGCCUGAGAGGGCGACCGGCCACACUGGGACUGAGACACGGCCCAGACUCCUACGGGAGGCAGCAGUGGGGAAUAUUGCACAAUGGGCGAAAGCCUGAUGCAGCGACGCCGCGUGAGGGAUGACGGCCUUCGGGUUGUAAACCUCUUUCAGCAGGGACGAAGCGCAAGUGACUGUACCUGCAGAAGAAGC
rnacentral:rRNA from 1 species